ACCCGCUGAACUUAAGCAUAUCAAUAAGCGGAGGAAAAGAAACCAACAGGGAUUGCCCUAGUAACGGCGAGUGAAGCGGCAACAGCUCAAAUUUGAAAUCUGGCGUCUUCGGCGUCCGAGUUGUAAUUUGCAGAGGGCGCUUUGGCAUCGGCAGCGGUCCAAGUUCCUUGGAGCAGGACGUCACAGAGGGUGAGAAUCCCGUACGUGGUCGCUAGCCUUUACCGUGUAAAGCCCCUUCGACGAGUCGAGUUGUUUGGGAAUGCAGCUCUAAAUGGGAGGUAAAUUUCUUCUAAAGCUAAAUACUGGCCAGAGACCGAUAGCGCACAAGUAGAGUGAUCGAAAGAUGAAAAGCACUUUGGAAAGAGAGUUAAAAAGCACGUGAAAUUGUUGAAAGGGAAGCGCUUGCAGCCAGACUUGCCUGUAGUUGCUCAUCCGGGUUUCUACCCGGUGCACUCUUCUAUAGGCAGGCCAGCAUCAGUUUGGGCGGUUGGAUAAAGGUCUCUGUCAUGUACCUCUCUUCGGGGAGAACUUAUAGGGGAGACGACAUGCAACCAGCCUGGACUGAGGUCCGCGCAUCUGCUAGGAUGCUGGCGUAAUGGCUGU
rnacentral:rRNA from 1 species